AACAACUUCACUGUUGUAUAAGAGGGAUGAAAGUAGAACAGAGAUAUACUGCUGAUUUCACCAACUAUUCCAGCAGCAAUAGAUGGACAAGGCAUUCAUUUUGUGAUAUAUAUGGAUCUUUUCAAAAAGGAAAAGAGCUAUUUCUAAAUAAUCUCAUAGCAAACACUUUAAUGUCACUGUGGACAUUUGAUUGCCAUCAAAUAGAAGAGCAAUUACUAUAAAGGGAACAAGGACAGCACCAGUAUAGUCUUAAAUCCAGCAUAAGCAGCAUCUGAUUGGUGCUGAUAAGAUACUUCAGCCCAGCUCCUAUAAUCUUCUCUCUCAGAAACAGAGCAAUAUGAAUGGGUAUAUAAUUCCUCAGGAAUCCUAGCUAAGUGAUUAACUAAGGUGGUGAUUCAUAUCAGAUGAGCCACUGGAAGACUGCUCUCCCACUUCUCAUGACCAUAGACCAACUUGCUUGUUGGUUAAGACUAGACUUUUUUUUCAGUACUUCCCUAAAUCAUGUGUAGGAUGAACUCUUCACACAUGUAUUUUGGAUGUGUCACAUUUAUGAAGCGCUAGACAAAGGAAACAACUAGUUAACAGCUCAGCCAUAAGUGCACUGGAGAAAAAGUCAUCUGCAGAGCUACCUGGACACCCUCUUUCUUUCUACUUCAUCUUUGGCCACAGGUCUGCUCCUAUUGUGGAGCUAGAUUCAUACAACUGCUUCCUCAUCUACUGCUGGUGAAAACUUCACUUAGACUAGCAGUGCAAGCUGUUUCAAUAGCCUACAUCACUCUGCUUUAAAAGCUGGCUAGAGAUUUCUCUCAUCACACCACUUGAAUGGAAGUUGGAAAGCAUGAAGCAGCAAGCACUGUGAAGUUCUUGCUGUUGCAGGAAGAAUAUGGCUGCUGUUCUAUUUCUCUGUGGUCUAAAGUUUGUGCAUAUAUUUUAAGGAAAAAUCCUGAGCUCCUAUCUGAAUUUUGUCCUUUCCUAUCUGUUAUUUACCCCAUUCUUGCAUGGAAAGAAAAAUAAAGAAAAACAGGAAAGCACUACCUUGCAAUUUGUUCUCAUUGGUGUCCUGGGUAAUUAAAGAGCUUUAAGAGCCAGAUAAACAUUAUUUGCAAUAACUUAUUUUGGUCAGUUCCUUAGCUUUUCAAGCAACAUCAACACAACAGAUACCUCUUCACAUUGCUGUUUUACAAUAUAACAAAAUUAGGAAUAAUUAAACCUCUCAGCUGAAUCAGUGUGAGCAGCAUAGCAUACCUCUAGUUUCUUCCCCUUUCACCACUGAAAGAAAACUUCAAUACAUACCCAAGCUUCUUCCAGCCUCUUUAGAUUCUGGUUUGUAGCAAUAUUAGUUACAGUGACUAUCUGACAUAGCAUUUGACAGUUACCAGUAAACUAACAUGAUAAGAGCUCAAUAAAUUUCUUCUGAUACGCUGCUACAUAUGGAAGAGUAAACUCAGAGAAAAACCAUAAUGCAGAAGAACAGGGGCAGCAAGGUUUUAGGAAUCUCCAGCAUAGGCUACGUGAUAUUAUCUUGGUUACAUGUUAGAAAACCCCAAAGCAAUUUGGCAGCGUUUGGUAAUAACAGCAAAUACCAUUAAGAGCUUGGCAGAAAAUGAAAUUUUCCGCACAUCCCUCAUUAAAAAAAAAAAAAAGUAUUAGACAUAGCUGAAUGAGAUUGUUUUUUUUUUUUGUACUAGGCUAUACUCAUCACACUGAACUUGUGCUCCAAACUGUUGUAGCCCUCAAAAAUCAUAGUAACCAUAUAACACUGUAAUGCAAUAAAAAGCACAGCAAUGGCAGCAGAGCAGCUAAGUCCUAAGCUACAGCAAGUAAGAACUUGCUGAAAAACAACAGGCACAGAAACAAAGGAAAGAAUAUUCCUACAUUCAAAAGGCCUCAGGCAAACACUAAGAUCCCUAACAAGAUCACCUGCUUUCACUGCCAACCCUUAAAUGAGGUCCAGGAAGGGAUGAAUCCUGGCUCCACCUCUUCCAGUCAGUCAGCUGCAUUGCAUGCACCUGAGCACACCUGGGUUGGCCCUGUCAUCCCACCAGGUGCUCAAUCACUGUUUCAAGCCAUGGCUUAGUACUUUCGUUACAAAAUGAAACAUAGAUUCUACAGAAAUCUGAGGUCAGCUGAAACAGCAUCAUUCUUUUAUCUCACAGAACCACGUCCCUUGCUCUGGCUUCAGCUUUUAUCAUUUCUAUAUAUCUAACAUAGCAGAGCUAUUUGUUGUACUGACAGAGGAAAAGCAGCCAUCAAGACAAAGUUAUGCAUGAAAAUCCCAGCAUAACCAUAUUUUAAUAGAGAGAUAAACUGGAUAGGGGUAAAAAUCAGGAUUCCCCUAAGCAGAGCAGCAGGGUUUUGCCAUAUUCAGAAAAGCAGGAAAGGCUCGUUAAGCUAUAAAAUGAUUGUCUCUAAGGGCGUGUCUGUGUUGUGAAACAUCGUUCUUUUUACUUACAACAUAUAUAUCACUGUCAUAACCCCUCAUAUGAAUGCUCUCAUAAUGGAGUAAGAAUGGUUGAGUUUGGGGUUUGUCUCAUAGUUUUGUAUUUUACAUUUAAAUUGAAAAUAAAAUAAAACCAGCAAAAUUAUAAAAAUUAGAGAUUUUACAAACUGGAUUUACACUGGUACACUUAUGUCAUUUUAAAUCCUGUCCAUACUUAUGUUGUGGUAUUAUCCCUAAGCUGGCAAGAAAAUAAUGUCAAACCACCCCCUUGCACUCUGACUGUAUUAAAAGCAGAUAUACUCAAAACGCCGUAAGAAAUGUGCUGCUGUGAGGGAUACAGAGCCACCUCUUGCCCAGGGCACAUAAUACCAUGCAUCUUCCUCUCUACAUGCCAUAAAGAAUUUCUGAAAACUUUACAGAAGCGUACGGAGCCAGGUAUUGCCCAGGAAGUAUAAAAUAAAUUUCUCAAAUAUGCAAAUCCUACCAUACACUUGAACUAAAUAUCCUCAAGUAUUAACCAUGACAUUUGCCUGAAGUUCAAUUGUCUUUCUCCCAUCCACUGAAAAGGAAUAGAUAAAAGCUUUGUAUAGCAUACACCUGGAUAAAUUCAGGUCAUUCACAAUGACAAAACACAAUAUGUCAGAAAGUGAGUUCAUACUGUUCAUCACAAAUGAGAAGAGGAAGUCAGAAAAAUCUGGCACAUAUUCAGUACAUCUUUACUGAAUGAAUAUACAUAUCUGAUAAGUGACCACUCCAGAGACCAGUGUAAAUUGAUUGUAUAGAAAAAAAAAGGUCUUCAAAAAAGGUCAAAUGAACUCGGUCUGAAGAUCACAUGGGGAUAUUUUUCAAGUGUUCACUUAAGAAGAAAGUUGUUCACUGGAGAUAAUUCAUGAGGUUAACAAAAUCAAGAAUAUAAGGUCAGAUUCUUCCAAAGGCCAGGAAGGUCUUCAAUAGAUUUAAAGGGGUUUGCUGAUAAAGCUGUACGCUACAGUUACACUAGCAAAUCUUAACUAUGGAGGUAGCAGGUGUUUUAUUCCUGGAAAAGAAUAGGCUGUACUUGCAAAAUGACUUUUUUUUUCUUUCUUCUUUUCUCUGUUUUGUAAGCAUUUAUACAUCCAGAGAGCUGCUAUCAUAUUUAUGUCAGUCAUGUUGGUGAAAAUAUCUCACCCUUCCUCAGCCCAGCAAUGUCAGCAAAUUUUUUUAAGGGCAAACCUGGUCUAAGAAAAUAAAUUAUCAGAGAAUUUUUCUAUUUUUUUUUCUAUUUGUUGGACUGUUUGUUUUAGUAAGUGUCACUGGAAAUUAUUUCAGCUUUGUUUUUAUUUUGUUUAGGGGAUUUCAAUAUAAAUAACACUUUGGAUUUCAUGCAAUUCCUACUACAAUUGUUCAUUUGUCUUAUCCUGUCACUCUCUUUCUCAAUCUUUCCGCAACAGUAUGCUAUCUCAGAAGGUAUUGAUUAUUUGUGGGGAAAUAUACAAACUCCAAUCACCAUUAUAUAAGAAAAAAAUAUAUUCUCAAGUUAAGGAUUACAUGAUAAAUAUGACUUGUAUGCCUGCUCCGCAAAGAAGUGAAUGCCUUUAAUUAAUUUGAAUCACUAAAUUGAGAUUCUUAAUUUGAAUAAAUACAAACACAGUAAGUUUACAUUUGAUCUAGUCCCUCUAGGCUUUAUUUGUAAUUAAUGGAUAGAAAUAGUUACUUGUAUGACAUGUCUCAUCUAUUCCUAAAGUAGACAUUAGAAACAGGUCACAUGAGCCACACAUUAAAAAUGUCUCUUUCUUUCUUUUGACUAUAAAGGCCAUCUAACUGAGAUACUGUAGAUGUUGAAAGUUAGGUGAGAUGAAUCUCAAAUCUACUAUAAGAGCUUCUCUGAAAGUAACACCUCCUGUGUUAUUAUGUUGGCCCAUGAUGUCAGGCACAGAAGUUAUUGGUACGGCAGUAGAGAUUGAACCUACCUGCCGGUAUUCUAUUACAGGCUGCUGUCAUGUAACAGGUGGCAGCAGAGAGGCAGUCUGACUUGGAAUAAUGGCACCCAUUGACAUUCACUAAUGUUUACUGAAUGUUUAUGGAAAUCAAACAGUGGAUGUCAGUGCGUGAAGCAAUGGGUGGUGCACUUCUGCAGUAGCAACAGCGUCAAACCAUGCUCCAGACAGCCAUGCACAGCUUUCACACCUCAAAACCUAUGAGAAGGAAACUUCAGUGAAUAACCAUAGUUACCUAUGAGAACUGAGAUAUUUUCCUUUUUUUUUUUUUUUUUCCAAUUCAAAAUACUUGCUACUGCCCACCCAUGAACUGAGUAUUUCAGAAGGAAUUCAGACAGCAAUUUUUACCUUUGUGCACAGACUGACCAUGCUUAUAAGGUCUUUGGUUUGACUUGACAUAUUUCUUUGUGCGUAACAGUUUUGCAUACAUUAUCAUGUGCAUCUUUGUCAACAUUAAUGAGCACCAUGCAGUUAAAUGAAAAAUACUUUUUUUUUUUUUUCAUAAAUCUGGUGACUAUGCACGUAAUGGGGCACUUUGUACUCAGGAGCCUUUUGUUUGUUUGUUUGAAGAGGACUAUGAAAGUGUAACAAAAUCCCGCCUAACUAUUAUCAAUGUUGAUUACAGCAUCCUCUGAGCAGAUAAAGGCAUUUCUUAGUUGGUGGUCCAAUUAACUGCAUUAAGAAAAAUAUGGUGAUUCAAACUCAGUAGAGUUCAGCUUCAGCUUUGAUUUAAGGGUUGGUAACUUCCUCAGGAAAAUGAAUUAAUCUUUUUUUUAGAAAAAAAAUGAUUGUCACAAGUUAUUCAUUGUGUAUCUAAUUAUCAUCUGAGGUCCUGACCACUAAGUCCAGUAAAGAACAGGGUAACAGUAGGUGCAUUAAUCAUUGUUUAAUCUAAUCUAUCCCUUUACGUAUUUUAUAGUAACUUCACUAGCACAAACUCUGUAUCACCUGGUGUCUAACUGAUGAUACUUUCUGAAAAUCAAUUUCUGAAUAGGUACUCAUACUUAGUAUUUUUAAGGGACAUUCAGUUCAUCUGUUACUAGUUUACAAAGGCAUUAUUUGUUUUGGUUUUGUUCCUAAGUAUUAGUCAACAAAAACCCUGGCUGCUGAAAACCAAACUGUGCUCUUUCCUUUUCACUCGUCAUCACCAGUAAUAAAGAUUCCAUAGACAAAAUAAAAUCCUAGAUAAUGUGGGGCCACCCCACUCUCUUUAAUUGGGAUUGCAACAGAAUUGCAUAAAUGUAAUUGUCUGGAACUUGUGUAAGUAAUUCUGACAGGGAUGAAAAAGUAGAUGGACUUAGUUCACUCCUUGUUACUUAAAUUGAUCUACACUACUACCAGAAUUAAGAUAAACUUAGAUUUAAUUGUCAUAAGUUUCCUUUAAUUACUAAGGCUACUCUUUUGGACUAUUACUGUUAAAUUUAAUUGUUGUGUAAAACAAUGCUGAAAUAAUUACUAUUAGAAUUUCACUUUCCACACAAAGAUAUAUGUACAUAUAUAUAAACAUGAUCUAUAAUAAACUUGAAUAUCCAUGGCUAUUUUUCCACUUAUGGGGGGCAAUUCUUGUGAUGUAGAGAAAUGAACAUGCAAUUUUAAGCAGUAAAUUAAAAAGAAUCUAAAUUAUCAAUUCUUGAUAAAGUGUCCUCAAAUAAUAUAGAAAAGUCACUCUCUCCAACAAAUCAUUGCAUGAAAAACAGUUAGAAAUAAGCUAACAACUAAUUUCAUGCUGAGGGAGGAGGGAGAAGCGUAGCUUUCUGGAAUUCUAUAUAAAACUGUACUACAACAGAUAAAACUAUUGACAACUUCAGUAUGGAACAACAUAAAUAGUAGAUUUUACCUCUUUCUCCCUUUCCCCUCACUCAAAAAGGGUAUGUUUCUGUCUAAUUUUAGCCAUGUAAUCAAUCUUGGUAAGACAUGCAGGAAGAAUGUAAUUCAAAACAAAGGUUGCAAUCCAUAGUUCAAGAUAAAUAGUACGGAAGGCACAAAGCAUUAGUAGAUAGGAAACUACAAUAUGUUUGACACACAUGGCUUCUGCGUGGCACUGGUGACGAGGACAUGAAGAAAAGCAAGGAUCCCUGCAGAGUUUAUAUAACCUUGUUUUCAAAGUCACUGAACCCAUUCAGUAACUCCCAUUCAUCUUAAGAAAGCAACACUACUUCAAGUGAAGCCAUAAGUCUAAGAGAACUUUUGUUUCCUUUCUUUCAAAAACCUGUCCACCACUCAGUCCUUCUUUAUCUCCCUCCAUGAUAGUCUAAGUCAUUUCCUACAAAUUAGCAUUUUUUGGGAAAUCUGAUGAUACAGAGUCACUGAAGUACAAUUUCAAAAAGCAAAAUUUUAUAACCUGUUGCUAAGGCAGUUGCACAUUUCUCUACACUUUAGCAAUAGUUUGUUGCUGAGGACUUCAGUAAAUACAUGGGUUGCUAAUUAAAGAAAGUGAAGAAGGUAGAGGAUUACACAGAUGUGUUCAACUCCAGAUGGCUGCAUGAAGCGUAAGAGAUUGAGAGUUGUGGUUUUUUUUUUUUUCAUCCUAACUAGACUCCUCAGUUUUUUAUUCCACACCUUUUUGUAGCUCUUCCUAAUAAAAAUAUUGUGCUUGUGUGUUCUCCAAAGCCAUUAGGUAGUACUAAAUGAACAUAUUAUAGCAUCCAUUUUAUAAAAUGAACACUGAUUCAAAGUUCAAAUUAUUCUAUAAUGGUGGAGGAA
ensembl:lncRNA